rnacentral:rRNA from 1 species
ACACUCCUGCGGGAGGCAGCAGUAGGGAAUCUUCCACAAUGGGUGCAAACCUGAUGGAGCAAUGCCGCGUGAGUGAAGAAGGUCUUCGGAUCGUAAAGCUCUGUUGUUAGAGAAGAACACGUGCUAGGUAACUACUAGCGCCUUGACGGUAUCUAACCAGAAAGUCACGGCUAACUACGUGCCAGCAGCCGCGGUAAUACGUAGGUGACAAGCGUUGUCCGGAUUUAUUGGGCGUAAAGGGAGCGCAGGCGGUCUGUUUAGUCUAAUGUGAAAGCCCACGGCUUAACCGUGGAACGGCAUUGGAAACUGACAGACUUGAAUGUAGAAGAGGAAAAUGGAAUUCCAAGUGUAGCGGUGGAAUGCGUAGAUAUUUGGAGGAACACCAGUGGCGAAGGCGAUUUUCUGGUCUAACAUUGACGCUGAGGCUCGAAAGCGUGGGGAGCGAACAGGAUUAGAUACCCUAGUAGUCCCAUG